rnacentral:misc_RNA from 1 species
CAGAGAACAUCGCCCUCACGGGUGACUCUCCAACCCUAUGUUAUUAAAACCUUUGUUGCUUUGGCGAGCCGCUUCGGCCACCGGCGUCAGCUGGUGUGCGCUCGCCAGAGGACCACAAAACUCUUGUAUAAUUAGUUUGUCUGAGUACUAUAUAAUAGUUA